CGCCUGGCCUAUUCCUGCUUUUAAAAUAAAAUUUGCAUUUGAGAAAGUUCCAGCAUCUUAAAGGCAGAAAAGCUCUUGUUACCAAAUUUUGUCUAGUAUUUGUUUGCUUGCCUUGCCUCUGGUGACCAAUAACUUUCAUUCUCUAGACUGUGUGCUGAUAGCACUGUGAGUUGAAGGGACCCUGAAUAGCCUGACUCUCAGGAGCAACCCUUUGCCACGCUGGCAGAAAAUCUGUAAGUCUCUUUGAGUCCACACAGAGAUCAAACUCCAAAACCUCAUCCAUCUCAUCUUACCUCUUACGCCAAUGUCAAGGACAAGCAGGUCUAAUCCUCUACAUUAGACACAGACAGAGCAAAAUAAGUUUCUCCAAGCUUUAGGAAAUCCAUCCCUUCAGUUAUAGACUAUGUACUUCAGAAAACCCUCUCCUCUCUGAAUUCCUCUGUGCUGACUGCCAAGGCUGUACAUUAUCUAAUGUUAUCAGGAUAUAAAGGACCAGACUAUAUGGGUUCCAGUCCUGACUCUAGCAGUAUGACUUUGGACGAGUCACUUUUCUUGUCUAGGCUUUAAUUUUUGCAUUUUUAGAAGUGUGAGGGCGAGUCAGUGGAGUAAACUGGAUUGCAGUUAAGCUUUGGAAAUAUAAUACUAACACUUAAAUUCAAAUCUCUUAGCCAAGUCAGUAAGAUGCUUACUUGUGCACUAGUUCCCUUCUCCACUGGGUGAAAGGUUAUUAUAGGGAUUGAAAUAGCCAUCAAGGGCCUGACACAUGGAAGCUAUUAUGAUUCAGUGCCUUCUUUAUGUGUAAGUAGAUGGUGUCUAUGUGGUUUGAGUUCCCCAGUGGCUGGAACUGUUGAAGUGUGAUCCCAGGGAGGGAUACCUGGGUUGGAUUCCCACUGCUAUAACCUCCUAGCUGUCUGAUGACCCUGGGCAAAUUCAAUGUUUAUUUAUAAAAUUGAGACCUUUUUUUUGCCUCCCAGAGUUGUUGUGAGGGUCAAUAAUAUAAAACUUAUAACUCUUGUUGGGGGAAGUAUUUAUUUCACAUUUAUGUAUCCACAUGGAGUGACUUCUGGAUGUGUUCCCUAUCUCCCACACAGGGGUGAGAACAAACUUAUUUGCCUGGUGAAUUUGGGAGAAGGAUCUGAGCUCAGCCCCUUCCUUUUCCUUUUCUGGAACCAACCUGCUCUCAUGUUACAAGCUUGGCAGUAUGUGCCUCAAGUCUGCCAGGAUGAUCUUCUCCUGUCGUAUCUGCCCUGCCACACUUGGUUGGCCCUUAUAGACAAGACUGUGUUGUAAUUAUCAUCACACCCUUCAAAGUGUAUACCUGUCAUUCUUCAUCUAUCUAUCCAUCUACCUACCCACAACUCAGCGAGCCUCUACUUUGUGCUAGACCUGUGAACUCAUAGCCCUGAGCAUAAUUAUAUGCUGAGUCCUACGAAUCUUCCUAGGAAAUCACAUAUAUAUGAAUGAAACAUUUUAUAUCGAUUUUUAAAUGCUCACUACAUGCCUCUGAAGCAGUCAAGCAGUUUAUUGUGGUUUAAUGAUGAGAUGCAUGUGCUGAGGAGGUAAUCAGAAGAAGUGAGAAAAGGAGACGGUGUGAAAUUUUGAAGAUUUUAUAUGCCAUGAUGCAGAAAUAAAAGUUCAGCAGGGUCAAGUAAGUUGUCCAAUGUUCAGUAUGAUGGAGUGGGAUUCACAUGCAAGACUAACUACCACUGAACCAUUUACUUCUGACUUUGCUAUUCUGCUUCCACUCACUGAACAUCUCUCUGAGCAAGGCUCAGCACCUGGUAUGAAGGCUGAAACAAGAGCGGUUGCACAGCAAAUGUUUUGCUAUAAUGAGAGAAUACAUGAAUUAAAUGCGAAUUAAACUGCUUCUA
rnacentral:lncRNA from 1 species